UUCCAGACUCCUACGGGAGGCAGCAGUGGGGGAUAUUGGACAAUGGGGGGAACCCUGAUCCAGCGACGCCGCGUGAGUGAAGAAGUAUCUCGGUAUGUAAAGCUCUAUCAGCAGGGAAGAAAGAAAUGACGGUACCUGACUAAGAAGCCCCGGCUAACUACGUGCCAGCAGCCGCGGUAAUACGUAGGGGGCAAGCGUUAUCCGGAUUUACUGGGUGUAAAGGGAGCGUAGACGGCGAUGCAAGCCAGAUGUGAAAGCCCGGGGCUCAACCCCGGGACUGCAUUUGGAACUGUGUGGCUGGAGUGUCGGAGAGGCAAGUGGAAUUCCUAGUGUAGCGGUGAAAUGCGUAGAUAUUAGGAGGAACACCAGUGGCGAAGGCGGCUUGCUGGACGAUGACUGACGUUGAGGCUCGAAAGCGUGGGGAGCAAACAGGAUUAGAUACCCUGGUACG
rnacentral:rRNA from 1 species